AUGGCGGGGCGGAAGGGGAAAACAAUGAGGAAAUGGAGGGAAAGGGGGAAAACGGCGGGAAUAGGCCUGUCUGUCGCCUCACUGUUGAGCCGAAAGUACACUCAAAAAGGGGGAGGGGGGGAGGUGACAAACAACAAGCGUUCUUCAAUCACAACGGUGUGCAGAGCAGUGCUCGAAAGGCGUCAAAUUUUUCAAAAAAAAAAAAGAAGUAAAUCAGCAAUAUUAACUUCCAAUGAAAUCAGACAGCGAUUCAGUCAGACUGCAGAUUGGGCACUGUGCCUAGCGAAUCUCCCCAUUCGCUAUCGUCUUGACCUUGCAUACUCCAGCCGAAGUUGUGAAUGGAACAUCUUUGUAGCACGCCACCAGCUCACCGUUGCUGUGCAGAUCAGCGGACAACUUCUCCCAGGUUUUGCUUUUGGCGUUAAGAGAAGCCUCGGGCUCACCAGAGAACCCGGCAAAGGUCACCCUCUCCCCAACAGCAGCGGAUUCUGGAGGCUCAACCAACUCAACCUAAAAUUUCAAAUGUCAGUUUCCACAAACCGGAAGUGGCUGCUACUGUACAUUCAUGAUGAUUUAUCAAACAAAGAGCACAUGAGAGCCAAACGUUCCUUACCUUUGUAUGGUCCUUAUUCGAUGCGGCCAAAACCAUAG
rnacentral:rRNA from 1 species